rnacentral:rRNA from 1 species
UACGAGAUGUAGCCGUGACUGGAGUUCAGACGUGUGCUCUUCCGAUCUCUGUAGUGCGAGUCUUUGUCCUUAAAGAUAAAGGCGUAAAGAAAUUGACUGGCAUCAGCAUGGAGUCUGAGCAGUACAGAUAGAACCCGAAAGGUGGUGAACUAUGCCUGCACAAGACGAAGUCAGGGGAAACUCUGAUGGAGGUCUGUAGCGUUAUUGAUGUGCAAAUCAUUUGUCAGAUGUGGGUAUAGGUGCGAAAGACUCAUCGAACCUCCUAAUAGCUGGUUUCCCCCGAAGUUUCCCUCAGGAUAGCCGUAACGCGUAUAGUUAAGGGGAGUAGAGAAAUGGGUAGAGGUGUAGGGAUGCUUCGGUGUCUCAACUUAUUUCCAAACUUCGAAUCUCCUUGUUGUAGCCUUACCGAAUAGGAAAGCUACAAAAGAAUUGGCGUUAUGAGUGGGCUCUGACCGGUAAGCGGUCAUGGCGAAAUGGGAUGAACCAUACGUCAAGAUAAGGUGCCUAAGUAUACCAUCACUGAUACCAUUAAGAGAGUCCAUGUAUUUAGACAGCAGGUCGGUGCCCCUAAAAGUAGGUAUCCGCUAAUGAGUGUGUUAAAACUCCCCUGCCGAAUACUAGGGCCUCGAAAAUGAAUGGCGCAUAUGGUAUCACCGAUACUUGACACUUCUUCGGACGAAGAAGGAGUAGGGGGAUGUGGACAUUUUUGCGAAGGCGUCAUGUGAGUGGCGCUUGAAGAGUGUCUAUUACAGAUCCUAAUUGAAGUAGCGUUUAUCCAGGUUAACAUCCUGGGGGCUGAUGAGGAGUAGGGUUUCUGGGCAACAUAAACUGUCCCAGAGUUAGUCGAUCCUGAUCCCAACAACGGGAGAAAGGGAGUACGGUUGACAUUCCGUAACUGACAACAGGUCGCGGCAACGCUUUCUAUCUUUCUCCGCCGAUUCUAUACCGUUUGGCAGGGAUCUCUUUCCUGUAUGACAAUAGUAAUAUCCGAGGAAUCAGGUCAACUGGGGAUUCGCGAUGUUCUAUUGGCAAAAUGCAGCUUUUGUUGCAUCAUUGGCUAUUGGAUUGGUCCAUGAAGCGAGAGAUAGAUUCCUGUGUCAUUCGUACCGAUGACCGCAUCAGGUCUCCGAGGUGAGUAGCCUAUGGCCAUUGAGGCAUGAUAGUUCAGGGAAUUCGGCCAAUUAGAGCUGUAACUUCGGGAUAAAGCUUGGCUCUGAUGAAAAUCAGAACCGAUUGUUACGAGGAGAGCCCAACUGUUUAAUAAAAACACAGCGUCGCGCUGUUCUCUUAUAGGAAGUUAACGCGACGUGAAUCCUGCUCAGUGCUGUGUCUGUUAAUAUGGUUCAAGCCAACGAAGCACCGGUAAAUAGCUGGGGUAACUAUGACUCUUAUCAAAGUAGCGAAAUACCUCGUCACUUAAUUAGUGACCUGCAUGAACGGAGCAACGAGGUUCUCACUGUCCCAAACUGUCUCUCAGCGAACCAUCUGUAGUGGGAACGGUCACUAACUAUCCAGCGGGGAAAGAAGACCCUGUAGAGCUUCACUUUGGUCUAGUCUUGUAUAGUUCUGGCGGGGGUGCAGACUAGGUGGGAGAGCAAUCGAUUAUGAGAAACCACUACCCUGUUUGGAAUUAUGCUUACCUCCUUGAGGAAUCGGACUAGAUAGAAAGUUUGGCUGGGGCGGCACACCUUCGAAAAUGCAGCGAAGGUGUCCUAAGUUGAGCUCAGUGAGGACAGAAAUCUCACGUUGAGGAUAAGGCCAAAAGCUCAAUUUACUGUGCCUUUUUGUACUAGGACCAGUUUGGAAACAAAGGCCUAACGAUCCCUAAUUAGUCUUAGGUGCGUAAGACUUGGGG